rnacentral:rRNA from 1 species
GGUGAAGUGAUUGCAGUCGACGGAAGGGGGACUUGCUCCCGGAUGUUAACGACGGACGGAUGAGUAACACGUGGGUGACCUGCCUGUUGAACUGGGAUAACUCCUGGAAACCGGAGCUAAUACCGGAUAGUUCCUUGAACCGAAUGGUUCAGGGAUGAAACAGGGUUUCUGCUGUCACUUACACAUGGACCCGCGGCGCAUUAGCUAGUUGGUGAGGUAACGGCUCACCAAGGCGACUAUGCGUACCCAACCUGAGAGGGUGAUCGGCCACACUGAGACUGAGACACGACCCAUACUCCUACGGGAGGCGGGAGUGGGA